rnacentral:tRNA from 1 species
GUGGGGAGAGCUCAGUGGUAGAGCAUGUGCUUAGCGUGUACAAGGUCCUGGGUUCAAUUCCCAGUACCUCCA